rnacentral:lncRNA from 1 species
AUCUCGGUAUGAGAAUCACGAUUUUUUCGCCUGCGCGCGAGCUGUGUGAAGCAUCCUGCUUCUUUGUUUUGGCACCUCUUUUAUCUGAGCAAUAAUAUUAACGUCGCAGAAGACAUGAGUUAAUCGUGUCAUAUAAAGCGGAACCUCCGAGAACAAGCAAUGUGAUAGUGAUAAGAGUUGCGAUUUUGUUUGUUCUAGCGAUCUGUCGCAGUUUCAGUUUCACCUGGUCAACGACACACACAUUCACUGAAAAAGUGACGGCAAUCUGAAGGUCAGAACUGAAGUUGUAGGUCACCAAACAAAAGCCCUGCCAGCUAGAAAUUCGCACCGAAACAGUGUGUUGACAACUUUAGUUUUGAUAAGCCAGCUUGAAGCUAACAAUUAUCACUCGUCGGCAGUCAGGUUGCCGUAUCAUAAUGCUGUCUAUUAUACUACAUCCUUGAUAAUACUUAAGUAAUCUAUAAAAUGGGCGUCAAACAGUCUCGGCAUUCUCAGGACUUGAUUAACACAAGGUUUGCCUACUUUUAUUCUUUUUGAUGCUCCUUUUUUAUGGUUCUUUAAUGACAGUAUGUUACCCUAAGGCUCAAUUGUGAAUUGUCGAAUAAUCAUGAACAUUGAACAUUCACACAAGUGUAGAUUAAUAAGUUGAUGUAAUUUUACACUGCCAUAGAAGAUCCACCAUCUUGAUUCUCCUGUUUACUCUACAUGUACAAGUGAGGAGCUUGUAAACUUAUUAAACUUUGACUCUACUCUCUGAAAAAAACUCUCAGUGUCCAAAUAGUUCCUGAAUUGAUGCUAUGAUUCUGGAACUAGUGUUGGCCACUAAGCUGAUCUCGGUCUCGUUUUAAAGCUUACUUUGCUCCUGGGGGCUGAUUAUUGAAAUUAAUAGACAAAAAAGACACAAAGGAAGUGGAGCAAUCCUGUUGGUAGAAGGGAAGUGUUGCAACGGACAAAAAAGGCAAAUACUAGACUAACUAAUGGCAAUCCACCAGGAACCUCAUAAGUUGGUCCAUUAUUUUCCACCUUGGUCCUUAACAACCACCUGUUGCAACAAUUAGGAUUGCUCUAUUUUCCCUUGUCCUGUUUAUCUAUUGCUGUAUCUAUCAAUUUUAGCCUGCUAAUAGAUCGGAACCAAAAUUAUCUAACUUU